rnacentral:misc_RNA from 1 species
UCACCACCAGCGGCGGUGGCGGCGGCCAGGUCCAGAGCGGCGGCAACAGCUCCCAGAGCAACGGCACCACCUACAAAAUCGAGAUGCUCGACGAGGACAUCCAGUCCCUGGGCUCCGAGGACGACGAUGAGGAUCUCAUCAGCAGCGAUGGCAGUCUCUAUGAGGGCGAUCUCGGCCCCCUGCCCGUCAACGACGAUGUCGCCCAUCAGCUGGCCGCCGCUGGGCCAGUGGGCGUGGCAGCCGCUGCCGCCAUUGCCAGUUCCAAGAAGCGAAAGCGUCCACACUGCUUCGAAACGAAUCCCUCGGUGCGGAAGAGGCAACAGAACCGUUUGUUGAGGAAGCUGAGAGGCAUCAUCUACGAGUUUACGGGCCGGGUGGGCAAGCAGGCGGUGGUGCUGGUGGCCACGCCGGGGAAACCCAACACCAGUUACAAGGUAUUUGGGGCCAAGCCGCUGGAGGAUGUGCUGCGGAAUCUGAAGAACAUUGUGAUGGACGAGCUGGACAAUGCACUGGCCCAGCAGGCGCCACCACCGCCCCAGGACGAUCCCUCGCUGUUCGAGUUGCCCGGUCUGGUAAUUGAUGGUAUACCCACUCCGGUGGAGAAGAUGACCCAGGCCCAGUUGCGGGCAUUCAUUCCGCUGAUGCUCAAGUAUUCCACUGGAAGGGGCAAGCCCGGCUGGGGCAGGGAGUCCACUCGACCGCCAUGGUGGCCCAAGGAGCUGCCCUGGGCCAAUGUACGGAUGGAUGCCAGGUCCGAGGAUGACAAGCAGAAGAUCAGCUGGACCCAUGCCCUGAGGAAGAUCGUGAUCAACUGCUACAAGUACCAUGGACGGGAGGAUCUGCUGCCGACGUUCGCCGAUGAUGAGGACAAGGUGAACGCCCUGAUCUCGCAGUCGGGCGAUGAGGACGAGGACAUGGAGCUCUCCAAUCCACCAACUAUACACACGGUGACCACCAUGACACCACCCACGGGCAACAGCAAUCAACCGCAACAGGUCAACGUCGUUAAGAUCAACAGCGCCGGCACAGUGAUCACCACGCACACGGCCCAGAGCAACACCCCAGCCCCCACGAUCAUCCAGAGCACCAAUAACCAGCACGUGACCACCACGGCCACGCUGCCCGCCUCCACAAAGAUCGAGAUCUGUCAGGCCCCAGCCCCGCAGCAGCAACAACAGCAGCAGCAACAGAGCCAACAGCAGCAGCAACAUCAUCAUCAGCAACAGCAUCAGCAGCAACAGAGCCAACACCAUCAGACUACGGGACUGCCAAGCACCGUUCAUAUCCAGCCGGUGAGCGGAGGACAGCCGCAGACCAUCCAACUGACCACCGCCAGUGGCACGGCCACGGCGACAGCGGUCCCGACAACAGCAGCUGCCGUAAGUGCCGCUGCUGCGGCGGCAGCGGCCGCCCAGUCGAAUGCCGCCCAAACGGUCACCGCCCAGCAGAUCGCCAAUGCCCAAGUCUGCAUCGAGCCCAUAACGCUGAGCGACGUUGAUCGAAUGGGUUUUGUGCGAAUGCGUUUGCACAUCAUCGAGUUAUUGGUUAUUUUCGUCAUUAUUUGCAUCCCAACACACACAAUCGAACAAACACACUAUUACCCGCACAUUAUACCACCCAGACGGUUCUCUCGCAGAAUGCCGAUGGCACUGUGUCCCUGAUCCAGGUGGAUCCCAAUAAUCCCAUCAUUACCCUGCCGGAUGGAACCACAGCUCAGGUUCAGGGCGUGGCAACGCUCCAUCAAGGCGAGGGCGGCGCCACCAUCCAGACAGUACAGAGUCUCACCGACGUCAAUGGCCACGAGAACAUGACCGUGGACCUCAC